rnacentral:tRNA from 1 species
GGGGUGGUAGCUUAGUGGUAGAGCGUCCAGCCAUGACCGCAGAUGGUCUCAGGUUCAAUCCCUGAUCACUCUA